GACGAACGCUGGCGGCGUGCUUAACACAUGCAAGUCGAACGGAAAGGCCCCUUUGGGGGUACUCGAGUGGCGAACGGGUGAGUAACACGUGAGUAACCUGCCCUUGACUUCGGGAUAACUUCAGGAAACUGGGGCUAAUACCGGAUAGGAAUCCUUGCUGCAUGGUGGGGGUUGGAAAGCUUCGGCGGUUUUGGAUGGACUCGCGGCUUAUCAGCUUGUUGGUGGGGUAGUGGCUUACCAAGGCUUUGACGGGUAGCCGGCCUGAGAGGGCGACCGGCCACAUUGGGACUGAGGUGCGGCCCAGGCUCCUACGGGAGGCAGCAGUGGGGAAUAUUGCACCAUGGGCGGAAGCCUGAUGCAGCAACGCCGCGUGCGGGAUGACGGUCUUCGGGUUGUAAACCGCUUUCAGCAGGGGAGAAGCUUGUGGUGACGGUACCUGCAGAAGAAGCACCGGCUAACUACGUG
rnacentral:rRNA from 1 species